GACGAACGCUGGCGGCGUGCUUAACACAUGCAAGUCGAACGGAAAGGCCCUGCUUUUGUGGGGUGCUCGAGUGGCGAACGGGUGAGUAACACGUGAGUAACCUGCCCUUGACUUUGGGAUAACUUCAGGAAACUGGGGCUAAUACCGGAUAGGAGCUCCUGCUGCAUGGUGGGGGUUGGAAAGUUUCGGCGGGUGGGGAUGGACUCGCGGCUUAUCAGCUUGUUGGUGGGGUAGUGGCUUACCAAGGCUUUGACGGGUAGCCGGCCUGAGAGGGUGACCGGCGACAUUGGGACUGAGAUACGGCCCAGACUCCUACGGGAGGCAGCAGUGGGGAAUAUUGCACAAUGGGCGGAAGUCUGAUGCAGCAACGCCGCGUGCGGGAUGACGGCCUUCGGGUUGUAAACCGCUUUCGCCUGUGACGAAGCGUGAGUGACGGUAAUGGGUAAAGAAGCACCGGCUAACUACGUG
rnacentral:rRNA from 1 species